GUAUCGUUCGGUCGCUCUCACCGCAGGUUGUAGCUAAUUUAUGGAGUUGGGGAGGAUUUGGAAUGGGCACUUGCAGGCAGGACUCUAGAUUUAUCGUGCGUUCAUGCCAGUCGUACACUUCCUUCUCACAAGAAGCCAACUAUCCUUCCGGCUACUCGACUGCCUGUUCUUUCCUCUUCUGGGCUUCUCCUUUCGUUUCUCCCUUCAUAGUCUGCGUUAUUUCAGCUGAAACCAACUAAAUAGUAAUCUUACGCCGUAAAAUAUUCACGGAUGGUGUAUACUUUCUAUAGUUCUCGCGCAAUUUGAUAACACAAAAGUUUUAAGUAAACAAGUUUCGCAAUCGCUCUUCUGCGGCCGCAGCUUUCGAAAAGUAUUACAGUCGUCGAUACAAUCUUACUAACUGCCUUAUAACUUUAUUAUCCAAGAAGCAGUCGGUCGCAUUUUGUUUCCUUUUAAUUCGCUUACCUCCAUAUUUCUUUAUUUUAAUUGUGUUUUCUUCAGUUUCAUAGUUUCUUGUUGAAGAUGACAACGUGAGUUCGCGCUCGCCAUCCAUAUGCAGAUGCGCUAGUUACAAUAAAUAGUAAUUAGAACAUAAUUCUAAAUACAAUCGAUAGAUUUAAUCGAUAGGUUUAACCCCUUGGCCUGCACGCUAUCUGCCGAUCGCGCGAACCAUAGUAAGCAAGAAGUUCGGUCGCGCGCCGUGCCAUUCAUCCGUUCAGCCGUGUGCCCAAACUGGCGCAAAAUGUAUACUUUUUACAUUUAGGGGCUACAAAAGGAAUUGCGAAAUAAUAAACAACGUUGUUGAUGGUCACCGGUGUCCACCGUGGCACCUUGGUAACAGUCGAUAGCGACGUAUUAUAACAAGGCUUCGUUUAUUUCAACAAACCAUUCGCAUUC